rnacentral:misc_RNA from 1 species
GAAGAAGCAAAUAAGCAUAAACACUAGCAUGUUCUAGCAGUUGUUGAAAAUGACCAAAUACACCAGCAGUGAAUGAACAAGUUGAAACAAUAGCUAAUUCACAUUCUCAACAUGUUCAAAGAAGGCCAGCAUGGCUGUCAAAUUACGAGGUAGCCAAAAUUGAUCAAUCUGAAUAUCGUCUAACUCAUUUUGCUCUAUUUUCAAAUUGUGAUCCAAC